ensembl:miRNA
AAAAGUGCUGUUUGUGCAGGUAGCAGUCAUCCACCUACUGCAAAACCAGCACUUCAGG